UGGGGAAUAUUGGACAAUGGGGGCAACCCUGAUCCAGCCAUGCCGCGUGUGUGAAGAAGGCCUUUUGGUUGUAAAGCACUUUAAGCAGUGAAGAAGACUCUAUGGUUAAUACCCAUGGACGAUGACAUUAGCUGCAGAAUAAGCACCGGCUAACUCUGUGCCAGCAGCCGCGGUAAUACAGAGGGUGCAAGCGUUAAUCGGAAUUACUGGGCGUAAAGCGAGCGUAGGUGGCUUGAUAAGUCAGAUGUGAAAGCCCCGGGCUUAACCUGGGAACGGCAUCUGAUACUGUUAGGCUAGAGUAGGUGAGAGGAAGGUAGAAUUCCAGGUGUAGCGGUGAAAUGCGUAGAGAUCUGGAGGAAUACCGAUGGCGAAGGCAGCCUUCUGGCAUCAUACUGACACUGAGGUUCGAAAGCGUGGGUAGCAAACA
rnacentral:rRNA from 1 species